rnacentral:lncRNA from 1 species
CUCUGAAGAGUCAUACAUUGUGUUCUUGUAUUCACGUGUUGUUUCUCUUUGAACUUAUUUCAGUGUUGUUCCAGCCUCACACGUGUCAAGUUUUCCCUAAGACCUCACAUAAAACCCAAAUGCUCACAAUCCUCAAUUCCACUGACUCACAAUUUUAUUCCACAUACAGCACAUACUCAAAAUGUCCACCUUUCACAGCAAUAUUAAAUAUUAUCACAAUUGUUAGGAAAAUGGACGGCCAUGACCAUCAGAGACAGUUCUGACAGGGCAAGGACCGAGGAGUGUUUUUUUUUUGUUUUUGUUUUUUUAGGAAACAGUUCUACUAGAAACAUGAGACCAAAUGUAACUGAAAAUACUGCAGACACAAAUGCAUGACCAAGACCCCAAACACUUAGUACGCUUUAUGCUGUAGGAUAUAAAACUAGCCCCCUAGACAGUCACAGCCUCUCCUGAUUGAGCAUUCUAUUUUCUGGUUGUACCAAAAAAUAAACAACCAGCAAAUGAUUUAACCUCUUAAAAAAAUCAUUUACACUUAAAAAAUGGGAUGAGGUGAGAUUUCCUCCCACUUUUCAAAAAUGUUUCUAGAGCUACUAAAAAACUCGCAUUUACAAAAUAGUUGAUAAAAAUAUUCCUCUGGAUUAUACACGAAGGGAGGCAGGAACCACUGACAGACAUGACGAAUGGUUAGCCGGACUUGGCUUCUUUCUCUUCUACCUCAGAGGCUGGACUCUGGUUCUCUGUCUCUCCGUUCUCUGCAGGCAGAUCUGCAGUGUGCUGGUCAGCCGCUUCAGCCUGUUUGCCCUUUGCUCCCCUCUUCCCUUUUGUUUGCACUUUUUUUGUCUGAUGAUUUAUCCUUUCCCGAGGCCUUUUUCGGCUUCGCAUCCACCUUGGCAGGGGCGGGCUUGGCCGACAGCCUCGCAGAGCGGGGCUUGGGCUCUGCCUUGGCCGUUCCAUCCGUGCUGACCUUCCUCUUGGGCAUCGCGGCGGCGCUGGGAGGGAGGCGUGUGCAAUGCCGAACCCGGUCACGGAGCUGC